ensembl:lncRNA
AUUUUCUGGAAGCUUGCUUCAGACCUCGGGUAUUUCCUGUAUACCAGGGAGCUAGUUUCUUAUGAGAAAUGUUUUUAGUUUUUAGGGGUGCAACUGCAUCUAGGGUAUUGCACAAGGUUAAAUUGAGUUCCUCAGUUAGGUGGUUAACUGAUUUUUGCCCUCUGACGUCCUUGGAGAGGGAGCCUGGAAGGGCAUCAAGGAAUCUUUGUGUUGUCUGUGAAUUUAUAGCACGACUUUUGAUGCUCCUUGGUUGGGGUCUGAGCAGAUUAUUUGUUGCAAUUGCAAACAUUAAAAAAGGUGGUCCAAUAGUCCAGGAUUAUGAGGAAUAACAUUAAGAUCCACAACAUUUAUUCCAUGGGACAAAACUAGGUCCAGAGUAUGACUGUGACAGUGAGUAGGUCCAGGGACAUGUUUAACAAAACCCACUGAGUCGAUGAUGGCUCCGAAAGCCUUUUGGAGUGGGUCUGUGGCCUUUUCCAUGUGAAUAUUAAAGUCACCAAAAAUUUGAAUAUUAUCUGCUAUGACUACAAGGUCCGAUAGGAAUUCAAGGAACUCAGUGAGGAACGCUGUAUAUGGCCCAGGAGGCCUGUAAACAGUAGCUAUAAAAAGUGAUUGAGUAUGCUGUAUAGAUUUCAUGACUAGAAGCUCAAAAGACGAAAAUGUCGGGGUGUUUUUUGUAAAUUGAAAUUUGCUAUCGUAAAUGUUAGCAACACCUACGCCUUUGCGGGAUGCACGGGGGAUGUGGUCACUAGUGUAACCAGGAGGUGAGGCCUCAUUUAACACAGUAAAUUCAUCAGGCUUAAGCCAUGUUUCAGUCAGGCCAAUCACAUCAAGAUUAUGAUCAGUGAUUAGUUCAUUGACUAUAACUGCCUUUGAAGUAAGGGAUCUAACAUUAAGUAGCCUGUUUUGAGAUGUGAGGUAUCAUGAUCUCUUUCAAUAAUGACAGGAAUGGAGGAGGUCUUUAUAUCCCAGUGAGAUUGCUAAGGCGAUGGAUGAGAUGGAUUCUCCCAGCUCCUCCUCCUUUGGUUGGGAAAGACAGAGCAGUGAAGCCAAGUCUGCGGCUGUCGGAUAGGCGGGUGACCUCUGUGGUGGGGAGAUGCGGGAGCGGACUGUGGAGUUUUAUAUUGAGUUGUGUAGGGCAAAACUAUGUGAUCCUAUGUGUUAUUUAGGUUUUGUUUGCAGAACUCCCUAAACUCUCUCUGGCACAGAGGGAUGAAAUGGACAUUCCCCUGUUGUCCCAUGAAGUGGCAGAAGCCAUAACCCAGAUGUCCCCGGCCAUGCACUGGGGGUCGAUGGACUUUCAUUUUAAAAAAUUGGGGAAUAAUUGAACUGGACUUCGUUUGUGUGUUGCGUCGGGUAGGAGAGUUGCCGAUGAGCUGCGGUCAGGCAGCUCUGACUCUCCUGCCAAAAAGGCGACUUGUGUGAACUUAAGAACUGGAGGCCUGUGACAUUGCUCUGUGAGGGCUAUAAGAUAUUUGCCAAGUUCCUCGCUAACAGACUGAAGUCCCAUCUGGACUCUGUAGUGCACAAGGACCAGACAUAUUGUGUACCGGGACGCUCAAUUACAGACAACUUGUUCUUAAUCAGGGACAUGUUGGGCUUGUAAAGGUUUUCUAAUGUGAACUUUGGUCUGGUCUCUUAAACCAAGAGAAGGCUUUUGAUGGAGUGGACCAUAAGCAUCAGUUUUAAUGUGAUGUUUGGGUUUGGGGAAAGGUUUUUGGCUUGUGUGAAGAUGUAUGCUCGGGUGUUAUGUAUGGUAAAGGUGGGAGGGGGUCUCAGUAGGCCAGUCUGGGUGAGGUGGGGCAUUAGACAAGGAUUCCCUCUGUCGGGGCAGUUAUAUACACUAGCCAUUGAGCCUUUUCUGGUCCUCCGAUGCAGGAAACUGCAGGGAGUGUGCUGGACAUGUAUGGGCGUGUUGACAGUGUCGGCGUAUGCAGAUGACAUUUCUGUGAUGGGCAGGAUAUGCAGGAACUUGAGACGCGUCUGAAGGUGUAUGAGGGAGCUUCGUCAGCUAAGGUAUUCUGGGGCAAGAGCAAAGCUUUUAUGUGGGGCAUGGAGAGAUAGGUCCCCCCUCUGCUUCCAGGGGGUUUUCAGUGGGGUUGUGAAGGGCUUAAUAUAAUUUUUGGUGUAUCUGGGCUUGGAAAGGUGGGUCAGGAAGAACUGGGAGGGGAUGUCAGCUGUUCCUCAUGAAGCUGGAGAUGCUGAGGACAGCAGGUCUCUCUGAAUUUUACUCUGCGGUGCUGAGGGUCUGGCAGCUGCUCACACUAGAAGGGGGUGUGGAGCCUCGGCUGGGUCUUCCACAAUCCAGCCAUCCUUUUGAGAUCAGUUUAGUUGGCCACCCUGCAGAACCAACUGAUGGCAGCAGGUUUACUAAGGCUGGGUGACCUGUGGCUACUGGGGGAGGAGGGUGGAAAUGUGGCACAACAAACAGGACUAACAUCCCUUAGGCUGCUGGAGAGAUUCCUGUGGGAGGUCCAGGAGACUCUUUCUGAGCCGGUAAGGGGGGUGUUUGAGUGACCAAAGGGGAGGGGCCACCAAUGUUUCCGCCACUGAAGGUGACAGCAGAGACUGGGGACUGGCAAGGGGGUAUUGGAGGUGUUGUUUGACUUCAAUUCUCCGAGCCUGGGGGAGAUUGAGGGGGUGGGAGCUAAAGCCCACUACAACCUCUGCAUUAAGGUGUGGAACAUUAGGAGCCUAACAGGAGCGAAGGCACAUCAGUGGUUAUUGUGAUGUGUGAUGUUGUUUUGUAUUGUGGAGUAGAGGGCAAGGUGAGUAUGCAGCAGAGGGGAUGUUUGUUUUUAAAGGGGGUGGGGGUGGUGGUGGUGAGGUUUUAAUGAAGUGAGGAUGUAUCAUAGUCUCUCUCUCUCGCUCUCUGUCGUUCUAUUUCUAUUCUGUCUUUUGUUUUCUCUGUAUAAAGGUGACAUCCCUUGGACCAUCCAUCACUGGCCUGGGGUCCCUUAUCGAUAUGCCUUAUGGCGGUGAGGAGCAGAACAUGAUCCACUUGUUCCCCAACAUCUGUUAUUCAGUAUCUGACUGUGUCUGGACAAGUCAACUAUAAUAUCUUGAGUAAAGCAACAUCUUACAUGAUGAAAGGUGUGCUGCUUAUAUUCAUAUUCAUAUUCAGCCUAAUAGUUAAUUAAAUUAUACAUAUUACAUAUACAGUGGACAAAGUAUUGAGAUAAACUUUUGUUAUUGACCAAAUACUUAUUUUCCACCAUAAUUUGCAAAUAAAUAAAUUAAAAAUCCUACAAUGUGAUUUUCUGGAUUUUUUUCCCUCAUUUUGUCUGUCAUAGUUGAAGUGUACCUAUGAUGAAAAUUACAGGCCUCUCUCAUCUUUUUAAGUGUGAGAACUUGCACAAUUGGUGGCUGACUAACUACUUUUUUGCCCCACUGUAUUAAUAAAUAAAAUAUAUAUAUGAUAUAGCCUAAUAGUUAAUCCUUUAGUUUCUUGCCCAUUUAGGUUAUGAGAGUGAACUGUCCUACUAGAUGACGGUUCAUUCAGUGUCUUUCAAAAUAGUCACUCCUCUGGAAGCACAUUGUGAGUAUCUCAGCCUGUUUGUGUAUCUGUGUCUGUCUGUCUGUUCAUGUCUGUGUAUCUGUAACCCUGUAUCCAUAUCUCCUCUCUGAAAGGCUCUUUGUGUUCGUACUGAAGUGCUUCCUGCAGGCGAGUCCCUUCAGCAACAGCAGAGUACUCUCCAGUACUGCAAGCCUGGUUGGGGGCCCAGCAGGGAGAUGAUGGGGCCUUCAUGGAGCCUGGUUGGAUCAUCCACACUGAACUUCAGGGAGGCCUGGAUGGUCCCAUAUCUCUCACAACCUACGUCCUCAUGGCGCUGUUGGAGGAUGACAGUUACAAGAACAUGUAUGCGAGCCAAGUUUCCAUAGAUACAGUAUGUGCCUGGCCGCUUACACUCUGGCCCUGGCCAACAGUGAGACCGCAGACCGAGCACUGACACAGCUGAUGGGAUGAGCAGAGAUGAGGGGUAACACUUGGGGAGUUGGAUGGAGAUGGGGAUGGAUGAGACACCUCUGUUCUAAGGUGCUGCAUAUCUAAAAGCAUUUAGGGGCAGCAUUUGGAAUUUUGGAUGAAAAGCAUGCCCAAAUUCAACUGCCUCCUACUCAUCCCCAGAAGAUAAGAUAUGCAUAUUAUUAGCUGAUUUGGAUAGAAAACACUCUGAAGUUUCUAAAACUGUUUGAAUCAUGUCUGUGAGUAUAACAGAACUUAUGUAGCAGGUGAAACCCAGAGGGAAAAACAUUCAGAAUUUGUUUUUUGAAGUCCCUCUCUUUUCAAUGUGUUUUCAUUGGGAAUCCAAUGCAGUGCCUACUGCUUCCACUGGAUGUCACCAGUCUUUAGAAAUUGGUUGAGGUUAUUCCUUUGUGUAAUGAAGAAGUACGGCCGUCUUGAACGAGGGUCACUUCUUGUGUACUGUUUGAUAGAGGCGCAUGACCAGAAAGCAUGCUUCAGUUUGUUUUCUUCCUGUAUUGAACACAGAUUAUCCCGUUUUCAAUUUUAUCAAUUAUUUACUUUAGAAAAUACGUUGUAUUACAAAAGUAGUUUGAAAUGUUCAGAUAAUAGCAUUGUUUGCUUUCGCGGAAAAGCCUUUUUGAAAUCUGACAUGUUGGCUGGAUUCACAACAUGUGUAGCUUUAACUUGGUAUCUUACAUGUGUGAUUUCAUGAAAGUUUGAUUUUUAUAGUAAUUUAUUUGAAUUUGGCACUCUGCAUUUUCUCUGGCUUUUGGCCAAGUGGGAUGCUAUCGUCCCACAUAUCCCAGAGAGGUUUUAAAGAGGACUCACUAGAAAACACUAAAUUGUUAUUUGUUGAUGAAACUUUCUUGAUUUCUGCAUGUCAGUCUGAUACAAAAAUAGUUAUUCUACGUACAGUGCAAGCCUUGUUUCCCAGAUGAUGUUGUUGAGUCGUGCCAGCCGUGCUCCGCAGACAUAGAGAUGGCUACCUACCUGCUGCUCUUCCUGCGCAAGCUUUCUUGGGUGGUGGAUGGGUUCGGCCUCAUGAAGUGGCUCAGCCAGCAGAGGAACCACCUGGGAGGAUACGGCUCCACACAGGGUCAUCUCUGAUCCCAGAUCAUCAGGCUGGGUCAGAACAUAUGCAUUUCAAGGGUCAGUGUGGAUCAGUAUCUGAACCCAGAUCAUUUAGGCUGGGUCAGAAUAGAAGCAUUUCAAGGGUCAAUUUAUGAUUCCAGAUCAGAUAGGUUGGCUCAGAACAUACUGCUUUCCAGUUUCACUUGAAUAGAAUCAAAAGGAACAUUUACAAA